UCUAGAACUAUAAAAAUUCCCUUUAGUAGGUUUUAAUCUGAUUUACUCAACUAUAAAAUAAAUUAAUACUUGGGGAGACUGUCAAUAUUAGUUAGAUUAUCUACUAUUCUUAAUUCUUAUGUAUAUUUUUUUCAGCUGAAUUGAAACCUGACUUACAUCUCCUAGCAGCUCCAUAAUGUUAAUGGGCAUGUAAAGAAAAGAUCUCUUUCAUCCUCACCUGCCAAUAUGUCAAGGACGAUCUGUAGUUAAUAUGAGAUGAGGAUACCUUCAUGGUGAACAACAGUGAUGAGUUAUCUGUAAUCAAGGGGAAUGCUGAUAUAGCUGUUGACUUCUUUUCAUAUCAAAGGAGAUUGAGCAUGUAUACGUAUUCAUCACCAGGAAGAGAUCAGGUGCAUUUAUGAAGUCUGGUGUAGCAUUAAAUUCGUUCUCUAGCCAACUUCUCUCAUGGUGGAUAAUUCUGAUGUACAACUUGCUCUCACAAUGCACUUGCUUCAUAACUGAGACAGGUUUUGGUGUAAUGACAGCUAAGUUGAAAUCUGUAUGUAACAAGACAUUUAACACUAUCAGAGUCUAUUGAAGUGUCUAAAAGCUGCAUCACACUUGUUGCACUCAGUCCUCUCUCCAGCAGUUCACCAUGAGCAUCCAUCUGAUCUACAUGGCUGAUUUAUCUCUCCGGAACUGAACAUUGCCAAUAGGACAAAUGAAAAUAAAAACAUGGACCUUGCCAGUGAAGAAUAAGAUGAUGUCUCCACAGUUUGUGAAGGUGAGGCGGUCAGCCUUGUCUCCAUAAAGAUGAAUGAGAAUUCCUGUGCACAAGCUUGACAUAACUCUCCUAUUGUUAAUAUCACAGUGAAUGAUAUCAUCAUGAUUUCUCCAAAGUUGCUAAGGAGUUAGGAUGUAGUUGACAUAUGCCAUUGGGUAUUCUGUUCACAGAUGCUGGAGGAAUAACUUCCAAGGAAGUCCAGUCUUAACUGCAAAUUGUCAGUUGAAGCUUGAUUGGUUUGGUGUAGGAAGAACAUCUAUGUGAAUGAGAUACAUGUGCUGAAAGAGGUAGAUCUGAACAGAAAUCUGAACAAACAGAAAGAUGUCUUGUUGGAACCAUGUUGUGUCUGUUGGUCCUGAAAUUACUAUUACUGCUGGGAGGGGAUACAGCACCCCUUACUGAAAAGCCUCCUUGGAAGAAAUUGUUGGCACCUCCUAUAGGGGAAGAUGAGGAAGUGAAGGUAGGUGUGGUGGGCUAAUAAUAAGUCAGAGUAACCGGAAUGUGCCGAUAUAAAGUGUGAGACCCCUUGUUCAAAAUACCUGUAUCUUACAGAAGAAUUGGCAUAUUGAUCAGAUCAAUGCUCUGUAUAGAUAGGUAUCUGUCUCUGACAGUUGCCAGCGGUUAGUGUUUCAAAAGAAGAUGCAAGAAACCCUAUAAUGAAACAACCUGCCCAUAGGGGAAGUUGUCUAUGCUCCUUAGUUUCAGAGAGGCAUAUAUCUGAUAAUAUAUUUUCUCCACAGGAAAUCUAUGUCCUUUUAAGCCAUGUUCUGGGCGUUUACAAACAGUUGACAUAGUUUGGCACCGAGUGAGUGACAUCAGUCACAUAUACAAUGUGGGUAAUGUUUUCAAGUCCCUAAAUCAUGGUACUUUUUCAGAUUCCUCCCUUAAGUUGCCAUGAAGACUACCUCUUCUUUAAAGAUACAUCAAGUGUUAAUAAAAAGUUGAUAUGAACAGCU